GCUGAGCUUCAUAGCAAUACUUUGCAUUAUUUUUUUAAUUUUCAUGUCUUAAACUUGCUUUUUCAGUUGUUGUCAUAAUAAAAAGAUACUUUCUGACACAGACAGCUAAAAUGGAGAGGCUGAAGGGUGAAACAGAAAUUAAAUCUUCCAGUUUUCACAUAUAAAACUAGUAUAAAACAAAGAUAUUACACUUUGAAAAAUGCUCAAACAUGAAGAAAAUGAAGCAAAGGAAGAAACAUUCACAAUAAACACAUAAAAACUUAACCUGGUUAAUGUUUUACACUCACAUGUUGUAGGCUUUACACACUGUAAAAGUCUUAAACAUUAAAAUAUACACAAAUAUUUUCUAUUGGGUUAAAACACGCAGUAAAUGUAGCGUUUUUUGUUAAUAACUGUUAUUUACCACCGCCAGUAAAUGCAUCAAAUUUGCUCGUUUCUACCUUACUGGUCAGUCAAGGGCAAAAUCAAGUUUAAGCAAUUUGAUUGGCUGUGAUGAUGUGUACGUGCUGCUACGUACUGGCAGUCGGUCAGCGGCCGUUCACGGACCGGGCUGGAUCUGAGCCAUUUUGGAUUGUUAUUUCUUGCUAACCAGCUGGAGCUACGAACUUUCCUGGACGUUUUGCUUGGUUUUUGGAGCUGCAGACCCGAAUCACACUCGUGACCCGGGACGGACUGUUGGACCGGAGCUGGAGCAGUUUAUUUCCGUUUCUUCAAAAACUGGUAACCAUGGUGGGCAUCGCCAUAAACACAAUAACUCAUCCAGGAACCAUCCAGAAGACGUGCAGACAGCAGGCAGGGGCUGAACUUGCAUUUAGUAAGCCUCCUUAAACUUUUAAUAAAGAUUCCAUCCAAAUCUACCUACAACCAUCCCUUUGCUCAGCAUUGAGAUGCUUGAGCUUCUUGAUAUAAUUUAGCUAAAAUGUUUUCUCAGUCAGUGGGAAACGCUGCGCAUGGCAUCAGAGUUCAUCUUAACAGCUUCAUUAUGGGUAAAUGCUGUUCCAGGACCUGCUGGAAGUUCCUCUCAAUGACUCCAACAGGAGGACUUUACUUAUGAAGAACAAUGAUGAAAUAUGAACCACCUGUGUGGUUCUUAGAAAGAUACUUUCAUUUAUGUGGAAAGAGAUUACUUCCAUAAUCUGUGAAUCAAAUCUGAUCGUACUAUUUUCAGUGUUUGUUUUGCAGUUUCUUCUAAUUAGAGUCUAAUUAAGGCCUAACUGGGAUUUAUUGUCAAGCAUGUUUUGGGUCAAAGUUUUUGUGUUAAAUACAUUUUUCAUAUACGAAGGAUUGCUAAGUGUUUGCCAUCCCACAGUCUGCAGCUCAGUUUGACAGCUGAGGCUGGAACGGAGGCGGCUGCUGCUGUGGCUGCGCAUGCUGGUGCUGCGGCUGCGCCUGCUGCGGCUGCGCAUGCUGGUGCUGAUGCGGCUGCGCAUGCUGUGGCUGCUGCUGAUGCGGGUGCUGCUGCGACUGAAGGCAGAGGAUUUGUCCUACUUCUGAACCUCGGCUUCAUCAUAAGCUUUCAAUGAGUUUUAAAAUUCAUAAGCCAUUUCUCAUCUAUUAAACUUUAAACUGCAUGAUAAUCAGGGACACUUGCGGCACAGCUCACACAUAAACAUAUUUUAUAAACCUGCAAAAAUACAUAUGCAUUUUUUUAUACUAUUUUGUAGAUGACAUUGCAUUUUAAAUCUGGCUAUAGCACCGAGACACUAAUGGACUCUGACAGAGUUUGGAAGGACUUUGCAACAUAUUUUCAAGUGUUUGUUGGCUGAGAAAGGCUGUUUAUCCUGAAGCUGUCACUAAGCAACACGCAUGAGAGAAACAUUUGUUAAAUCUCUUUAGUUUUCUAAGUUAGACAUUAAUGUUUGGCUGAAUAAAAAACAUGAUGAGA